rnacentral:lncRNA from 1 species
AGCUAUAUAGUUGACUUAUACUUUUGUUCGGGGAAAAUCAAGGUAUCAGGUUCCUAAUUUGGUUCCUGUGAAUCUAAAGGCACACUGCCCAGAUUAUCUUAAGUCGAUUAACUUGAAUGAUUGUACCAGGCAUGCUUCAGGUCCUUUAUCUUGUUCUCUCAUGAAGUAGGUUGUUUCACCUUCCUUGAUUGUAUUUAUACGUGUGUGACAUCACUUACAAUGAUGUAAUCAAGGUAGGUAAAAAGCCUUCCAUAAAAAGUUGACCGUUGCAUUGUUCUUGUGCAGUAGCGUAUGUAGGAAGUAACUUUUCUACUGGAGAACUUCAUACAGUCUUCUCGAGAACUGGUAGGAACAUGUUUCCUCUGCUGUUCCUUCCACUCUGAUAGUUUAUUUAUAUCCCACGCCGGAUUCCAACCUGGAACUUUGUAAUCUCGAGGUCUUGUAAAUGUGUAAUAGGUUCCUUAUCUGGUUCUGGAUGGUAAGUUUGUUAGCUCACCAAAACAUAAAGUAAAGUACCUAUGCCCAAGGUACUUGUAACCUAUUAAUUUUACUUUAUCUAACUAUUUUUAUUUGUUAACAAUUGACACAUAAAAGGGCAAGGCAGAAUGCAAGAAAUCUAGUUGAGGAAGAUGAAAGUAUGGGGGCAACAAUCAAAAGAAGAGAUACACCUAACAGCACCCCAAUCUGGUCAAGCAAGGGAGUCGAGUGUUAAAGGCUUAAAUUUUGUGUUUAUGCCUACACCAUCAGUGCACAGUCAAUCAAAUAGUCCAUUCCAUGAGUGUGAGCAACCUGAACUUGAUCCAGAUGUAGUUACAAGGCCAACAAAUGUGUCGGAAUCUAAAAAAUACUUCUGCAAAGGCAAAAACCACCUCAAACUUCAUGUGUAAGGGUAAUUUCAUCACUGGUGAUACAAAUGAUGUUAGUCUUCCAUCAUCACUUCCUUUCAAACCACCGGUCCUCAAAUGAAGGGAAAAAAUAUUGUAAUUGGAAGUCAGUAGGAGAUGCAAAGCAGAAAGAAAUUAGAUAAGACUGAAUCCAAGAAGGGAAAAAAUUGAAGUCUAUUGUAAUAUAACUAAAUAGGAUGUUUUUUGUGCAGUUUGUUGGGUUGUAAUUACUGUCAUGUGACAGUACAUUUCCUAUUUUGUGUAGUCUGUUAAGACUUCUUACUGAAUGUUGGGGUUGGAUGUCAUAUUAUCAUCAUGUUUGUACCAGUAUUUAUGGGUAUAAUAUGGUAUCCAUGUCUCCAUAAAUCUAGAUUUAUUUUGUGUAAUGCAUGUACAGUUACUAUGUUGAAUCUGCAGUUUUGAAUUUGCAUUUUUGCAGUUAAUGUUCAGUAUAUUCACUAUGUUGAAUCUCUAGUUUUGCGGUUAAUGUUCAGUAUGUUCACUGUAUCGAAUAUGUAGUUAUGAAUAUGCAAUUUUGUUGUAAACAUGUUCAGUAUGUUCACUAUGUUCAUUGGGCAGUUUUGUGUUAAUAUUGAAUUUGUAGUUUGUUCAGUCUGCAGUUUGAUACUUACUAUAUAGACAACCAAUUAAUAUGUAGCAUCUUAAACAUCAAGUUAACAUCAAGAUCAACUUAAAAGUUGAACAUAAACAUGGAGCAACUUAAACUUCAACUUAAGUCUUUAGUAGAACCAACAAAAACAAGCAAUUAACAUUAGAACUUAAACAUCAACUUAAAAUAUCAAUGUUACAUGACUUGAAGUAGUCUAAACAAAAGUGAAUUCAUAUUUAAUAUAUGGAAAAGGGUCAAAACUACCCCUAGACAAUUGGAGUUGGUACAAUAAUGCCCUCCAUCCACCUAUUUUGAAAAAACCCCUCACCAUUAUCGUUUUGGCUCAAGAAUGCCCUUACGACUAGCGACCAUGUUAGAUAAAAAAAAUUAAUUAAUUUCCAUGUGCCAUAACGAAAAAAGGUCAAAACUUCCCCUAGACUAUUGGAGUUGGUACAAUAAUACCCCCAUCUCAAAAAAUCUCUCCCUUCCCCCCUCCCUCCCCCUCUAGCGUGUGGGUUCAUAUUCCUCUUGUUUUUCUCAUCUUUUUUGACCUUGCACCCUAUUUGAAUAAUCACUACAAAUAUCAUUAAAGUUUUAUUUUCAGACAACAAAAAUUUUUGUCACCAUUACUUUACGUCAUACAACUUUCAAAAAUCCUGUUAAUAAAAAAACGUAAUUAAUUUCCAUGAAUCAUCGUCCCAUUGGCGUAACUUAGGACUCACCUAAUUAAAAUAAACUCACCCACAUUCUAAGACCGUUUUCUGCCGUUACUUUCUCCUCUUUCUUUUAAAAAUUAUUCCACCAACUAGAACUCUCGUAAACCUAUUUUUUUCUUUAAGCAAACAAAAUUCUCUCUUAUAGUUAAUCACCUUCCUCUUCCUAUUUCUUUGUAAAUGUACACAUCGAUAUUCCUAAUAUUUUUUCAUCAUAGAAAUACCAUUCAUCAUCAGUUUUUCUUACUACACUUUACUGCUUCAUACAAUACGCUCAAUCAAGUGUUUAUUAUAGUCACAUUCACCAAUAAGUCGUAUUCUCUCAUACUCUCAGGCAUAUAAUCUCAAAUAUUUCUCUUGAUUUUAUUGUCUUUUUUUUAAAAAAAAAAUUGGCGAUAUUGAUAUAACCUGAAGAGCAUCCUCGUACAAUAGCUUAAUUUAGUAGGAUGCUAUAUUUGAAUAAUCACUACAAAUAUCACUAAAGUUUUAUUUUCAGACAACCAAUAAAUGGAAAUUAAUUAUGUUCUUUUUUUGCUUGACAGGGUUUUUGAAAGUUGUAUGAUGUUAAGUAUUGGUGACAAAAAAUUUUGGUUGUCUGAAAAUAAAACUUUAAUGAUAUUUGUAGUGAUUAUUCAAAUAGAGUGCAAGGUCAAAAAAAAAGGAUGAGAAAAACAAGAGGAAUAUGAACCCACAUGCUAGAGGGAGGGGGGAAGGGGGAAGGGAGAGAUUUUUUGAGAUGUGGGUAUUAUUGUACCAACUGCAAUUGUUUAGGGGCAGUUUUGACCUUUUUUCGUUAUAGCACAUGGAAAUUAAUUAACUUUUUUUAUCUAACAUGGUCGUUAGUCGUAAGGGCAUUCUUGAGCCAAAAAGAUAACGGUGAGGGCAAUUUUUUCAAAAUAGGUGGACGGAGAGCAUUAUUGUACCAACUCCAAUUGUCUAAGGGUAGUUUUGACUCUUUUCCGUUUAAUAUAUAAGCAUGCAUAAUUCCAACAAAAUUCCAACAACACUCUAGCAACUAAAAUUCAAUUCAUUACCCUAGCGGCUACAAUUCCAACAAAAAGGGUACAUAAAAUAAUAGUGAAAAUCUUCAUCUGGAGGAUUUUCUCUUCUAAUUUAGUCACUUAAACAUGAUUUCUGGCCUUCAUACAGAUCAGUUUCUCCUUCAAUUUAUCUCUUUCAAUGUUAACAUUGUCCAACAAAGUACUGAUUUUAAUAUUUGACGCAUCCAACCGAGACCUUAAAUUGUUGAUUACAACAAGCGCUCUAUCGGAAAUAGGAUCAUCUGACUAUUCCCAAUAAUCACAUGAAGCAUCUUAUAACAUCAAAAUACAAUUCAACCAAAUUAAAUGGAAACAAUUCGUUAAACUAUAGAAAAAUUCAAACAUGACAAAAUUUAAUAAUAAUCACUUACUUGUAGUUCUGGAUACUUGUAGAAUCUCUGUUCAGAGUUAAAAAGAGUAGUCGAAGUAAAGUGGUUAGAAAAUUUCCUACAGUGGCACUUCCUUUUGGAUGAAGAACUAUUUUCCAACAUGCCAAACCACCUUUUUGGACAAUAUUUACAGCAUGGUUUGGAUCAAAUAACUGAUAAUGAAAGAAAUUAGAGUAGCCCUCUACUAAGAAUAAGCUUUCGUGGAAAUCCCUAGCUUUUGGUCUCGUUGUUGAAGGAAGGAAUGAGGACAGAUCUGUUUUGGGGUGUUCUUUAAUUGAUAUAUCGGGUGGAUCAGAUAAAAUGAACUGGGUUGUGGGUUAAUUAAAAAAUAGGGAGUAGGUUUAAAUCAUCCAAUAAAAGACUGCCAAGUGGAUAUUAAUUUAAAUGGAGGAGUAGAC